rnacentral:rRNA from 1 species
UACGUAGGGUGCAAGCGUUGUCCGGAAUUAUUGGGCGUAAAGAGCUCGUAGGCGGCUUAGUAAGUCAGGUGUGAAACCUCCAGGCUCAACCUGGAGACGCCACUUGAUACUGCUAUGGCUUGAGUUCGGUAGGGGACCAUGGAAUUCCUGGUGUAGCGGUGAAAUGCGCAGAUAUCAGGAGGAACACCGAUGGCGAAGGCAGUGGUCUGGGCCGAUACUGACGCUGAGGAGCGAAAGCGUGGGGAGCGAACAGG